GGCUCAGUGGUUUAAGGGUAUGAUUUAUACUUCGGGUGCAGGAGGUCCCGUGUUCCAAUCCCGGCUGGGCCC